rnacentral:rRNA from 1 species
GAUGAACGCUGGCGGCGUGCCUAAUACAUGCGAGUCGAGCGAACAGACGAGGAGCUUGCUCCUCUGACGUUAGCGGCGGACGGGUGAGUAACACGUGGAUAACCUACCUAUAAGACUGGGAUAACUUCGGGAAACCGGAGCUAAUACCGGAUAAUAUAUUGAACCGCAUGGUUCAAUAGUGAAAGACGGUUUUGCUGUCACUUAUAGAUGGAUCCGCGCCGCAUUAGCUAGUUGGUAAGGUAACGGCUUACCAAGGCAACGAUGCGUAGCCGACCUGAGAGGGUGAUCGGCCACACGGGAACUGGAACACGGUCCAGACUCCUACGGGAGGCAGCAGUAGGGAAUCUUCCGCAAUGGGCGAAAGCCUGACGGAGCGACGCCGCGUGAGUGAUGAAGGUCUUCGGAUCGGAAAACUCUGUUAUUAGGGAAGAACAAAUGUGUAAGUAACUAUGCACGUCUUGACGGUACCUAAUCAGAAAGCCACGGCUAACUACGUG